UGAGAGCUUUGCCUCAAACAACAAACAAACCCACCAAACUGAGUCAUGGUUUUCCAUUAUGGAUAUCUUUUCCCCCUUUUUUUCAAUAGGGUGAUUUGUAGUGGAAGCCCAGGCACCUGUUUGGGGUCUGUCUCCACCUGCAGGGAUGCUGGGGCGGGGGAGGGUCUGAUGCUUUUACAAUUUGCAUCAUUUCCCUCCCCGAUAGUGGUGGACUCAGUUCUCUUCCUCUGCCUGGUGGGCUGCUCUUGGCACCAGCUCCAUGCUGAGCCAGGGACGUCGAGUCCUUGUUGCUGCAUCAAGGACAGGGGUGGGCACCCUGCAGCCCAGGCCUCUGGGUAAUGGGUGAGGUAGCAGGUGAGGGGGAAGUUUGGACAUCUGGGGUCAGGCAGGACCAAUCCUUGUGUCUGUGUAGGAGGCUCAGUCUGGAGUCCCAGAGCUGUCCUGUGUUCAAAGUCGGCUCCACCUGCAGGAUGUGCAUUUCCUGCCAUUUUGACGUUCAGAUGGAAUCCUUCAACCCCUCUUGUGUAUCUAACAAGAGCCCAGAAAUCCUUUGUCAAACCACGUGUUUCAGUUUUGGGUGCGGAAGAUGUGAUCACGCCACUCACGGAGCAGGAUGGGGCGGGAGGCGGCGGAGAGGAGGGGAGAGCUCUGUCUCAGGUGCCGUCUGCAUGUCACCCAGUGGCUCCCCUUCCCAGCAGUUCUGGGGGCGGGGGCAGUGUCAUCCCCUCCGCAGAAUAGAUGAGCAAACCUCAGGCCUGGGAGGGCGGCUUGUUCAAGGACACACAACAGUGCAAGUGGGGUCUUCCUUGCUUGUGAAAAUGUAUCUUCGCUUUGCUGAGCCUAGCAUGGCCGGGUGAGUUAUGGGGAGGAGAAGCAGCCGGACAAGGUGGUCUUCACCCUGGAGGGCACCAGGGCAAGGCUCCCCCUGAGCUCCUGGCAGGUGCACCUUACUGCCUACUGGAUGCCGACUCUUCGCAAAGUCCUAAAGCUCACAGAAUCUUCCCCAAGUGCAUCAGCCCGGAGCGUCCAAGGUGAAGCCAUUAUCUUCUCGUCCAAAUCUGAAACCACUGGUGACCUGGACAAAAUUGGACCCAGUGAGGCCUAUGACCACCUGGCAGGAGGGCACGUGUGGGCGAGAUGGGUUCCAGCUGUCCAUAUAUGUGCUUGACCCGUUUUGUUGUUGUUGUUGUUUUGUUUUGUUUGUUUGUUUUUUGAGACAGGGUCUGGCUCUAUCGCCCAGGCUGGAAUGCAGU